rnacentral:rRNA from 1 species
GUCCAUGCCGUAAACGUUGUGCGCUAGGUGUAGGAGGUAUCGACCCCUUCUGUGCCGCAGCUAACGCAUUAAGCGCACCGCCUGGGGAGUACGGUCGCAAGACUGAAACUCAAAGGAAUUGACGGGGGCCCGCACAAGCGGUGGAGCAUGUGGUUUAAUUCGAGGCAACGCGAAGAACCUUACCCAGACUUGACAUCCCAGGACCGCCUAUGAAAGUAGGUUUUCCCUUCGGGGACCUGGAGACAGGUGUUGCAUGGCUGUCGU